CCCUAAUGCAGGUAGGGUCACCCCAGCACGUCUAAGGCUGAGCCUGGUUGCUCAUUCCUUUUCCCCCAUGGCGGCCUGAGAAGCAGAGGCUGGUGGCAGCUUACCUCUGAGCCUCGAUGCUAAACCUCCACAGCACUGCAUGGCUGUAGUCGGAGCCUGGGUUUCAUCCUUCCAGCCCACACUGCCCCUUUCCCGGGGUCCUGGAUGGGAGUGGCGUGGAGUUCCGCAAUGACAUCUCCUGUUUUAACAUCUGUGUGUGUUCACUGCAGCUUUACUGCCUUAAAAAUGUUUUCUAAUAACCCCCAGGUGUUUCUCUUGCAUACAAUAGCCUGGCUUGUUACAGCCCAAUUAAAUCCUUAUUUGAGACGCUUAAUUAAAACUCUGAACAGAACAAGCCAUAAAGCUUGCUCCUUGCCAGCCUUUCGCCAAAAGUGCCUGGCCCUUCCCCCACUACAGGCUCCUUCUAGGACAUUGCUGAUGAUGCUUCUCUACCUCUAGUAUUGACCUGGAGGGGCAGAGGCGUUCAACUUGUUCCCCGGAGACUGAGCUCAUGGAACCUGAGUUCUUAGCUCCUUUUCUGAGAUUCAUCUCAGAUAGCCAGAGAACCCAGUCUCAGACAGUGCCAUCUU
rnacentral:lncRNA from 1 species